UACGUAGGGUGCGAGCGUUAAUCGGAAUUACUGGGCGUAAAGCGUGCGUAGGCGGUUCGUUAAGUCAGCUGUGAGAGCCCCGGGCUCAACCUGGGAAUUGCGGUUGAAACUGGCGAACUAGAAUCUGGCAGAGGGGGGUGGAAUUCCACGUGUAGCAGUGAAAUGCGUAGAGAUGUGGAGGAACACCGAUGGCGAAGGCAGCCCCCUGGGCUGAGAUUGACGCUCAGGCACGAAAGCGUGGGGAGCAAACAGG
rnacentral:rRNA from 1 species